rnacentral:rRNA from 1 species
GAUCAUGGCUCAGGACGAACGCUGGCGGCGUGCUUAACACAUGCAAGUCGAACGAGAAUCUGUGGAACGAGGGUUCGUCCAAGUGAAGCAGAGGACAGUGGCGGACGGGUGAGUAACGCGUGAGGAACCUGCCUUUCAGAGGGGGACAACAGUUGGAAACGACUGCUAAUACCGCAUAACACAUGGGUGUCGCAUGGCACUGAUGUCAAAGAUUUAUCGUUGAAAGAUGG